rnacentral:rRNA from 1 species
UGGGGAAUAUUGGACAAUGGGCGCAAGCCUGAUCCAGCCAUGCCGCGUGGGUGAAGAAGGCCUUCGGGUUGUAAAGCCCUUUUGUUGGGAAAGAAAAGCAGUCGGUUAAUACCCGAUUGUUCUGACGGUACCCAAAGAAUAAGCACCGGCUAACUUCGUGCCAGCAGCCGCGGUAAUACGAAGGGUGCAAGCGUUACUCGGAAUUACUGGGCGUAAAGCGUGCGUAGGUGGUUUGUUAAGUCUGAUGUGAAAGCCCUGGGCUCAACCUGGGAAUUGCAUUGGAUACUGGCAGGCUGGAGUGCGGUAGAGGGUAGUGGAAUUCCCGGUGUAGCAGUGAAAUGCGUAGAGAUCGGGAGGAACAUCCGUGGCGAAGGCGACUACCUGGACCAGCACUGACACUGAGGCACGAAAGCGUGGGGAGCAAACAGGAUUAGAUACCCUGGUAGUCCACGCCCUAAACGAUGCGAACUGGAUGUUGGGUUCAAUUAGGAACUCAGUAUCGAAGCUAACGCGUUAAGUUCGCCGCCUGGGGAGUACGGUCGCAAGACUGAAACUCAAAUGAAUUGACGGGGUCAUAGCUGUUUCC